rnacentral:lncRNA from 1 species
CUUAUUUUACUUACACUGGUAAAAAAUCAUACGCAGUAGUCUUCUAUUAAGAGAAUUAAGUUGCAGUGACAAGCAAUAAUCAAGACACAAAUAUGUAAAAGGUGUUCAAUCAAUGUACUGGAAAAGAGAGCGUAUGAUUUUUCACUACGUUAAGAAGAAUCCAACAACACUUUAAUCAUGAAAGAUUUAAGAAGACACUGUUGAACGUGCUCCGUUCUCACACUGGAAGGAAACCAUGUGCUAUGAUAUUA